ensembl:lncRNA
AGGCCUGUCCUGGGCUAAUUCUCAGAACCCGGACUCCCACUCCCCUUAGCAGAACCUGCCUGACUAACGGGGCGACUCCACACUCCGCUCCCACGAGGCUUCCUCCUCACUCCUCCACCAGGAGGCCUUCGCCAAGGGAAGUGCAAAACCAAGGACCUUCUUCAGUCCGUUAGGAGUAGUGAAAAUCACCAGGAGGCAGCGUAGAGGCUGAGGGAGUCAUGACGGCUGGUCUGGACGGGUAGUAGAAGUCACCCAUGGUCACAAGGAGUGGUGAAAAUUACCGGGCAUCACCCAAAGGCUUGUAGGGGGAUCACCAUAGGUCGAUUGAGGGGGAGGGAAGGGUGUCAGAGAGCACCAAGGAACCCUUGGGAUCAGUAGUCAGGGCUUGUCCCUACAGGUGCAAAGGCUGGGCCUUAGCCUGGCUUCAGGAAGGGCCCACGGUGCCAAAGCAUGGUUGGAGGUGAGCAGGCCUCGGUGCUGGGGAAGAAAGAAGCGCGUUCCCACCACCUCGGCCCCAGCUCCCAAGAGCGGCACCCCAGACGGCACUGAACCAGAAGCUCCCGACCAGAAGCCUCACUCCUACCCCAGUUCCUGUGGAGGGCUCCCAGCACCCUUUCGCCCAGUCAGGCUUGCUGAGGCUCCUUUAUGGUUGAGUCUCCAGGCCGCUCCGGACUUCCCCCGGUUCUCCCAUUUAUGCGACUCAGAAACUGAAGAUGAAUCCAGCGGGUAGGAGGGACUCCAGCCCAGCAGAAGCAGACACAUAGGGAGGGUUGCCAAGCCCCAGCCGAAGCUGGGGCGAGAGCCACACCUCACUCUUUCGGAGAAACUGGGCGCUGCGUCCAGACCUUCGGACCACUGAGAGAGCGAAGGAGCCCAGCGUAGAGGGGGCGCCUACGAGGCUUUGUCCACUAAUUCACACUGCAUCGCGUCCCCAUUUGACGGAUAAGAGACUGAGGCGUCUGGGAGGGUAAUGACUCGCGCUGGGACACGGCGGCCAAGAGGGAGAGGGAAGUAGACGGGUCUUCCAGCGGCUUUGGGCAACAAGCACUUCCCCCUGGGAUGUACGCGAGUGUCUGCGCUUUACUGCCCUACGCGAGACUGCUACCCGGCGCCUGCACACUUAACCCCACCCCCGCGAAGCGCUAAGCCAAUCAGGACCGGAGGGAGGAGGAC